UAAAAAACAAAAUCCGGAGCCUCCCAAACGUGACUAUCCGGGGACAAGUGGCCCGGGACGGGCCGAACACUCAGCCUGAAGAGACCCAGGAAGAGGAAAAGAGGAGGUAAGCGGGACCUCCGCCUCCUGUGCUCCGGCGGCGCGGAAGAGACCCGGGUGGCCGCCCGGCUUAGCGAUACCAGCCCCGCUUCUUCCUCAGUAACGCUCCGGAGCCUGCCGCAGCUACCGCCUCCGUCCCGAGGAGGAAGGGAACCAACCCACUUUCAGCGCUCCAGCUCUUCUCUAAAGUGGAGUCUCAACCAUCAGUGGGAUUUUUAGAAGGAUAUCUAAGUAUUUGGAUUACUUCCUUAGGAUAGAUUGCCAGAAGUGGAGUUACUGGGUCAGAGGAAUGUGAAAACCUUUGCAUCUUCUGAUAGUCUAGCCAAGGUUCAAGAAGUAGCAAGCUGGCUUUUGGAAAUGAAUCAGGAACUGCUCUCUGUGGGCAGCAAAAGACGACGAACUGGAGGCUCUCUGAGAGGGAACCCUUCCUCAAGCCAGGCAGAUGAGGAACAGAUGAAUCGUGUGGUAGAGGAGGAACAGCAGCAGCAGCUAAGACAACAGGACGAGGAGCACACUGCAAGGAAUGGUGAAGUCGUUGGAGCAGAACCUAGACCUGGUGACCAAAAUGAUUCCCAGCAAGGACAAUUGGAAGAAAACAACAAUCGGUUUAUUUCCAUAGAUGAGGACUCCUCGGGAAACCAAGAAGAACAAGAGGAGGAUGAGGAGCAUGCUGGCGAACAAGAUGAGGAGGAUGAAGAGGAGGAGGAAAUGGACCAGGAGAGUGAUGAUUUUGAUCAGUCUGAUGACAGUAGCAGGGAAGAUGAACAUACACAUAGUAACAGUGUCACAAACUCUAGUAGUAUCGUGGACCUGCCUAUUCACCAACUCUCCUCCCCGUUCUAUACAAAGACAACAAAAAUGAAAAGAAAGUUGGACCAUGGUUCUGAGGUCCGCUCUUUUUCUUUGGGAAAGAAACCAUGCAAAGUCUCAGAAUAUACAAGUACCACUGGGCUUGUACCAUGUUCAGCAACACCAACAACUUUUGGAGACCUGAGAGCAGCCAAUGGCCAAGGACAACAACGACGCCGAAUUACGUCUGUCCAACCACCCACAGGCCUCCAGGAAUGGCUGAAAAUGUUUCAGAGCUGGAGUGGACCAGAGAAAUUGCUUGCUUUAGAUGAACUUAUUGAUAGUUGUGAACCAACCCAAGUAAAACAUAUGAUGCAAGUGAUAGAACCCCAGUUUCAGCGAGACUUCAUUUCCUUGCUCCCUAAAGAGCUGGCACUUUAUGUGCUGUCAUUCCUGGAACCCAAAGACCUGCUACAAGCAGCUCAGACGUGUCGCUACUGGAGAAUUUUGGCUGAAGACAACCUUCUCUGGAGAGAGAAAUGCAAAGAAGAGGGUAUUGAUGAACCAUUGCACAUCAAGAGAAGAAAAGUAAUAAAACCAGGUUUCAUACACAGUCCAUGGAAAAGUGCAUACAUCAGGCAGCACAGGAUUGAUACUAACUGGAGGCGAGGAGAACUCAAGUCUCCUAAGGUGCUGAAAGGGCAUGAUGAUCAUGUGAUCACAUGCUUACAGUUCUGUGGGAACCGAAUAGUCAGUGGUUCCGACGACAACACUUUGAAAGUCUGGUCAGCCGUCACAGGCAAAUGUCUGAGGACAUUAGUGGGACACACAGGUGGAGUAUGGUCAUCACAGAUGAGGGACAAUAUCAUCAUUAGUGGGUCUACAGACCGGACUCUCAAAGUAUGGAACGCGGAGACUGGGGAGUGCAUACACACCUUGUACGGGCACACCUCCACUGUGCGCUGCAUGCAUCUCCAUGAGAAAAGGGUUGUUAGCGGUUCUCGAGAUGCCACUCUUAGGGUUUGGGAUAUUGAGACAGGCCAGUGUUUACAUGUUUUGAUGGGUCACGUAGCCGCGGUCCGCUGUGUUCAGUAUGAUGGCAGGAGGGUCGUGAGUGGAGCGUAUGACUUUAUGGUGAAGGUGUGGGACCCAGAGACGGAGACCUGUCUGCACACACUGCAGGGGCACACUAACAGAGUCUACUCCUUACAGUUUGAUGGCAUCCAUGUGGUGAGUGGAUCUCUUGAUACGUCAAUCCGCGUUUGGGAUGUGGAGACAGGGAAUUGCAUUCACACGUUAACAGGACACCAGUCGUUAACAAGUGGAAUGGAACUCAAAGACAAUAUUCUUGUCUCUGGGAAUGCAGAUUCGACAGUUAAAAUCUGGGAUAUCAAAACAGGACAGUGUUUACAAACAUUGCAAGGUCCCAACAAGCAUCAGAGUGCUGUGACCUGUUUACAGUUCAACAAGAACUUUGUCAUUACCAGCUCAGAUGACGGAACUGUAAAACUCUGGGACUUGAAAACGGGUGAAUUUAUUCGCAACCUAGUCACAUUGGAGAGUGGGGGGAGCGGGGGAGUUGUGUGGCGGAUCAGAGCCUCGAACACAAAGCUGGUGUGUGCAGUCGGGAGUCGCAAUGGGACGGAGGAAACCAAGCUGCUGGUGCUGGACUUUGACGUGGACAUGAAGUGAGGAGCGGGAAAGACGGCCCGUCCGGACAUGCAGGCGACGUACCCCCAGCCCUUCCCCCUGCAAAAGAAAAAAAAAAAAGAAAAAAGAAAAGAAAAAGAAAAGAAAAAAAAAUCCCUUGUUCUCAGUGGUGCAGGAUGUUGGCUUGGGGCAACAGAGUGAAAAGACCUACGGACUCAGAAGGAAGAGAGGACGAACCGCAGCUGACAGGAGAGGCACCGCCGUCGUCACGGAAGGGGCUCCACUUUGACGGAGGGCAGCUUUGCAGAAGGAGACUUUCUAAAUCAAACCAGGUGCAAUUAUUUCUUUAUUUUCUUCUCCAGUGGUCGCCGGGCAGUGUCCACGCUGGAGCGUCCUUCCAGAUUCCACUCGCCUGUUCUUUUACCACUGAGACCUGGAAGGAAGCUGCAGUAACGUCCAAACAGUACCCGCUGACUUUCUAAUCAGAGAGCAUCUGCAACAAAAAGUCAUUUUUCUGGAGUGGAAAAGCUGAAAAAGAAACAAUUACUGUGAAUUGUUUUUGUACAGUUAUCAUGAAAAGCUCUUUUUUUUUUUUUUUUUUGCCAACCAUUGCCAAUGUCAAUCAAUCACAGUAUUAGUCUCUGUUAAUCUAUUACUGUCGCUUCCACAUACACUCUUCAGUGCAUACGUUGCUCAAAGGUGGCAAGUUGUCCUGGGUUCUGUGAGUCCCGAGAUGGAUGUAAUUCUUGAUGCUGGUGCUAGAAGUAGGUCUUCACAUCUGGGAUCGUUGUCCCACCCCUGUACUGUACUCCCAGUGGCCAAACUUAUUUAUGCUGCUAAAUGAAAGAAAGAAAAAAAAAAAAGCAAAUUAUUUUUUUUUAUUUUUUUUCUGCUGUGACGUUUUAGUCCCAGACUGAAUUCCAAAUUUGCUCUAGUUUGGUUACGGAAAAAAAAAAAGACUUUUUGCCACUGAAACUUGAACCAUCUGUGCCUCUAAGAGGCUGAGAAUGGGAGAGUUUCAGAAAAUAAAGAGUGAAGUUUGCCUGCAAGUAAAGAAUUGAGAGUGUGUGCAAAGCUUAUUUUCUUUUAUCUGGGCAAAAAUUAAAACACAUUCCUUGGAACAGAGCUGUUGCCGCCUGUUCUGCGGAGAGACCUUUCUUUUUGAGGGCUGUGGUGAAUGGAUGAACGUACAUCAGAAAACUGACAAAAUAUUUUAAAAAUCCAUAAAACACAAAAUUAAAGUUGCUGGUCAGUCUUAGUGUUUUACAGUAUUUGGGAAAACAACUGUUACAGUUUUAUUGCUCUGAGUAACUGACAAAGCAGAAACGAUCCAGUUUUUGUAGUAAAGGCGUCACAUGCAAACAAGCGAAAUGAAUGAAAAAAGUCAAAUGGUUUGCCUCAUUCUCCAAGAGCCACAACUCAAGCUGAACUGUGAAAGUGGUUUAACACUGUAUCGUAGGUGAUCUUUUUUUUUCCUCCUCCUGUUUAUUUUUUUUGUUUGUUUUAUUUAUAGUCUGAUUUAAAACAAUCAGAUUCAACUUGGUUAAUUUUAGUUAUGUAACAACCUGACAUGAUGGAGGAAAACAACCUUUAAAGGGAUUGUGUCUAUGGUUUGAUUCACUUAGAAAUUUUAUUUUCUUAUAACUUAAGUGCAAUAAAAUGUGUUUUUUCAUGUUA